rnacentral:rRNA from 1 species
GACGAACGCUGGCGGCGUGCUUAACACAUGCAAGUCGAACGGAAAGGCCCUGCUUGCAGGGUGCUCGAGUGGCGAACGGGUGAGUAACACGUGGGUGAUCUGCCCCUUACUUUGGGAUAAGCCUGGGAAACUGGGUCUAAUACUGGAUAGGACCAUGCUGUAGGUGGUGUGGUGGAAAGAUUAGUUUCGGUAAGGGAUGAGCUCGCGGCCUAUCAGCUUGUUGGUGGGGUAAUGGCCUACCAAGGCGUCGACGGGUAGCCGGCCUGAGAGGGUGGACGGCCACAUUGGGACUGAGAUACGGCCCAGACACCUACGGGAGGCAGCAGUGGGGAAUAUUGCACAAUGGGCGCAAGCCUGAUGCAGCGACGCCGCGUGGGGGAUGACGGCCUUCGGGUUGUAAACUCCUUUCAGCCAUGACGAAGCCCUUGUGGUGACGGUAGUGGUAGAAGAAGCACCGGCUAACUACGUG